GGAAGUUAGGAUCGGCUUCCCCGCCUUCCCUCCAGACUGCCUGUCUCUCCAGAAGGAAGCUUGUGUGAGGACGUGGAGCUGUAGGAGCCCUCAGCUGGGCCUCUGCUUUCUUCUCUGAGAAGCCCAGCCUGGCCCCAGGAGAAGGAGCUGGAAAACUUCAGGCCUGGCUUGGGCUGCCAUGAGGAAAGUGGAUAAGGCUGCAGCCCGGAUUGUUUCCUGGAGACGACGAUCGUGGAGAUGGUUAUGCCUGACCUUUGUACAGCACUUCACAGUUGGCACAGAGUUUCCGCAUGUGCCGUACCGUCACAACGCUGUGUUUUGGGAAGCACAGAGCACCUGCCACGUGUCAGGGAGCUCACCACUGCCGAGAGGAGGAGACCCCACAAAUGCAGGCCACUGCAGUUCAGUGGACGAGAGGCAUGAUCAGGAACAGGCUGCUCCAGCAGCAUCAAGUUACUCUGCCAAUAACCUCCCAGAGGGAGUGACUCAGCAGCUGACCAAAAAGAUAAGUCGGAGGGACACAGGCAAAGGGAGCAAGAGGACAGGGCUCGGGCUCGAGGACGCCUCACCUGCAAAGACCACGAUGCAAAGAGCCAUGCAAAGGGCUUGCAUAUGCUGCUUCCUACUGUGUGUCAGGCCCCAUGUGAGGUAUUGGAGUGCAGAGCUGAAUAAGACACAGUCUGGCCCUCACGGAGCCUACAGCCUGAGUGGAGGAGCCCAGGACACGAGCCCACCCCAGGAGUGGUUCUUGGCACCUCCUCCAAGAAGCCCUCACUGCUGACUCCACCACCCAGUUACUCCAUCUCCCAGAUCGCAUGGAAUCCCACGUCCAACCGCAGAAGCAUCCUUCAUCAGGCCCAUUUUCGAGCACCUGUAGUUGGCAGACCUCCAGAAUUAACACUUAUGAUAGGUCCAUGGCUCUUCACAGCUGCUGAAAAAGCCCCAUAUCCUCAGCUUGUUUCCAUCGUGGUGUGCUCCCACGAGCCCUCCCGGGCUGCUCUCCCACUGUGUCCUGCCCCACUCACCACCGACACACUGGCUUGUGCCCUGUCGUGCCUGAAGACCACCUUUCCUGGCACACCCAGGACCACCGCUGAGCCCACUGCCUGGGACACCAGGAAGGCAUCAUCUCCACCUGUAGAUGUUGGUCAAACGGCUCAGACACCUCCCCCGCCCCCUGUCUGCCCCAGAGCUGCUGGUCGGAUGUGCUCCGUGUCCUGCAUUUUAUUCGUGUUUUCCGAGCGUUAGCCCUGCUGCAUCCACGUCUCCUUCCCCACCCCCUGUCCACUGUACGCCCCACAAUGGUGAUUCUCAAGCUCCAUGUGGAGGAAAGAGCAGUGUUUUUUUGCUUAGUUUUUGUUUUUGUAAAUUUUCAAUUCAUUGCAGACUAAUGACUUUGCAAAAUAAAAUGACAUUUUUAAAAAACAAAGAUAUAUACACAACGUAAGCCUUAGUUAUUUUAUCAUUAGUUUCAAAUUGCUGUAACGAUCUGUAAACCCUUACUCUUGGCUUCUGUACUUUGUGCGUCUGUGGCAGUAGUGGUUUUCAGGUCGCCCUUGAAGAAGCAGAAGGCCCUGCAUGUGGUCAGCGCUGGACACCCCUGAUGGGAUCCAGUGGAAACUUCCCGCCUGUGCUCUCGCUGAUGUCCGAGGGGAUGCACAGAGGACAUCUCUGUGGAAGAGCCCUCAGAAGGAGGACACCCCCUCUGUGGUGACGCUGGCAGGCAUUUUUGGGUGUGGGUCCCCAUUCUGUCUAAGUUGCUUCAUGACCCUGGACAUGUUACCUGAAUGUGGCCUUGACCUGAAGCUAGACGAAGGUUCUUGAACUCUUUUGUGUCGUGGACCUCAUCGAUAGUGGGGGAGGCAUGUGGAUCCCUUCUCAGAACGUUUUAAUGUUUAAUGUUUUAAAUGCAGAAAAUGAAAACCACAGGAUUUCAAAGGAAAUCAAUUAUACUCAAG
ensembl:lncRNA